rnacentral:rRNA from 1 species
GCUGGCGGCGUGCCUAACACAUGCAAGUCAACUUGACUGAAGGAGCAAUCUGACAGUAGAGUGGCGCAAGGGUGCGUAACGCGUAAGUAACUUGCCCCAAGGUAAGGAAUAACGUCGAGAAAUCGGCGCUAAUACCUCAUAAUGCAGCGGAUCCGCAUGGAUAUGUUGCUAAAGGUUUACCGCCUUGGGAUAGGCUUGCGUCUGAUUAGCUAGUUGGUGUGGUAACGGCACACCAAGGCUACGAUCAGUAACUGGUCUGAGAGGAUGAUCAGUCACACUGGAACUGAGACACGGUCCAGACUCCUACGGGAGGCAGCAGUGAGGAAUAUUGGGCAAUGCUCGAAAGAGUGACCCAGCAACGCCGCGUGGAGGAUGAAGGUAUUCUAUAUCGUAAACUCCUGUGAGAGCAGACGAAAGACAGAUUAUUAAUCUGGAUGACUGUAUGCUCAGAGGAAGCCCCGGCUAACUACGUG